UAGGGAAUAUUGCAAAAUGGGCGAAAGCCCGAUGCAGCAACGCCGCGUGGGCGAUGAAGGCCUUCGGGUCGUAAAGCCCUUUUUGAGGGGAUGAGGAAGGACAGUACCCUCAGAAUAAGCCUCGGCUAACUACGUGCCAGCAGCCGCGGUAAAACGUAGGAGGCGAGCGUUAUCCGGAUUUACUGGGCGUAAAGCGCGUGCAGGCGGAUUGGAGAGUUGGAUGUGGAAGCUCCCGGCUUAACUGGGAGAGGUCGUUCAAUACUUCCAGUCUUGAGUGCAGUAGAGGGAAGUGGAAUUCCGGGUGUAGUGGUGAAAUGCGUAGAUAUCCGGAGGAACACCAGUGGCGAAAGCGGCUUCCUGGACUGUAACUGACGCUCAGACGCGAAAGCUAGGGUAGCAAACG
rnacentral:rRNA from 1 species